GGGGGACAAAGUGACAGGUGGUGCAUGGUUGUCGUCAGCUCGUGUCGUGAGAUGUUGGGUUAAGUCCCGCAACGAGCGCAACCCUUAAGCUUAGUUGCCAUCAUUAAGUUGGGCACUCUAAGUUGACUGCCGGUGACAAACCGGAGGAAGGUGGGGAUGACGUCAAAUCAUCAUGCCCCUUAUGAUUUGGGCUACACACGUGCUACAAUGGACAAUACAAAGGGCAGCGAAACCGUGAGGUCAAGCAAAUCCCAUAAAGUUGUUCUCAGUUCGGAUUGUAGUCUGCAACUCGACUACAUGAAGCUGGAAUCGCUAGUAAUCGUAGAUCAUCAUGCUACGGUGAAUACGUUCCCGGGUCUUGUACACACCGCCCGUCACACCACGAGAGUUUGUAACACCCGAAGCCGGUGGAGUAACCUUUUAGGAGCUAGCCGUCGAAGGUGGGACAAAUGAUUGGGGUGAAGUCGUAACAAGGUAGCCGUAUCGGAAGGUGCGGCUGGAUCACCUCCUUU
rnacentral:rRNA from 1 species